ensembl:processed_transcript
GAGUUGAGAGUGAUUGCCUUGCUGACUCGUGAUUCUGUGGGCUGGCAUUCUGCUGAGCUCAGCCUUAUAGUUCUCUGUCCUUGCUGUGGAGCGUCCGGUGGCUCCCGACAGCUGUGAGCACAGCAACAGCAGGAUGCGCUCUGAGUUGGCCUCCCUCACUCGUCCAGUGCUUGAUGCUGCUUAUUGAAUGACUAAACCCUGGUGUGAAGGCAGCAGAAUCAGUAACUCUCCACUGGCAACAAAGCUGGAGCUGUGUCCUUGCAGGAGGAGAGCGUUGGCUGGGAAGAAGCUGAACGCCCAUCCUCUUUAAUGUUAGGAAGCUCUGAGAAGCUCUGAGAAGAAGAGUCUUGGCCCAGAGCGUCAUAGUGAAGUUGCUUUGGCGAGCUUCCUUUUUAAGACCUUUGGCUGUGGGUGAGCUAUGUGACCUGGGAAAUGUAAGGCAAGCUGUUGCUGCAGAUGUAGCCCAGACACAGGGCACACAAAGCCGCUGAGCUUUUGUCCUUUCAGAAACUGCAACUCUAUGAUCCAACAAAAGCAGCUUUUAAGUUUAAGUCAUCUGACAGUUUAUGUGAGGUGACAAUAAGUUAAUUUAAUAGAUGUUUAUUUUCCUCAUUUUAGAGACGUCAUUAAUUCUAGCUUAUGUUCGAAUUCAAUAUAAUAUUUGUGCAAAACACAAAUGAAUUGUAUAUACAGUUUGUGACAGUUAGUUUUAAUUGUCAACUUGACAUAACCCAGGAUCACAUGGGAAAGGAAUCUCAGUGAGGGAUGGUCUACAUCAGAUUGGCCUGUGGGCACAUCUAAGUGGGAUUGUCUUGAUUGCCUGUGUUUAUGUGAAAAUCCAGGCCAGCAUAAAUAGCACUGCUCCCGAGACAAGAGGUCAUGCAUAUGGAGCCAAGCACAGGCAAGCAAGCAAGCAAGCAAGCAAGCAAGCAAGCAAGCAAGCAAGCAAGCAAGCAAGCAAGCAUUCAUCUCUCUUCUUGACCAUAGUUGCAAUGUGAUAGACUAUAACCUGGAAGCAUAAGCCAGGGAGAUCCUUUUUUCCCUACCUUAAUUUUUGUCGGGAUAUGCUUAUCACAGCAACAGAAAUUGAACUAUAUUAGCGUUUAUUCCUAUUAAUCCUGUUGUCUAC